UUUAGUCCAAGAUUAUUUGCCUGACGAGGUGCAUCACUACAUUUCCUAUGGAUUCCGUUCCAUCUUUGGUUACUUCUCAUCCCAAAUGACGAUAAUCAUCGAAGAAUUUGAAGGUUUUGCUCACAAUGAAGUCUUUGAAGCUGCAGAGGCCUAUCUAGCCACCAAGAUCUCUCCUUCUAACAAAAGAAUCAAAGUGAGUAAACAUGAGAAAGAAAACAACUACAAUGUCACCGUGGAGCGUGACGAAGAAGUUGUUGACACCUACAAUGGCGUCAAAUUCCAGUGGAUCCUCCAUUGUCGUCAUGUCGAGUCCAAGCACUUCCACAACCCACGGGAUCUAAACUCCACACUGAGAUCUGAGGUCCGAUCAUUCGAACUCAACUUCCACAAGAAAUUCAAAGACGUAGCUCUUGAAUCUUACUUGCCAUUCAUGGUGAAAAGAGCCACGUUGAUGAAGCAAGAGAAGAAAACACUCAAGAUCUUCACUCUCUCCCCAGAAAACAUGUAUGGGAACUACUCUGACGCGUGGACCUCUGUUACUCUUGACCAUCCUUCUACCUUCAAAACUCUAGCAAUGGAUUCAGAUGUCAAGACAAGUGUGAUGGAAGAUCUAGACAAAUUCGUAAAGCGAAGAGACUUCUAUAAAAGGGUUGGUAAAGCUUGGAAGAGAGGUUACUUGCUGUACGGUCCACCAGGCACAGGGAAGUCAAGCUUGAUCGCAGCCAUGGCCAAUCAUCUCAACUUUGAUAUAUACGACCUAGAGUUGACCGCGGU
rnacentral:lncRNA from 1 species